rnacentral:antisense_RNA from 1 species
CACCCCCAUGUGAACUGCACACAGGAAAGGAGAGGCCACUCCGACUGCUCUGAGGUCCAGGUGGCCCUCGCCCCGGCCCACCCGCGCCUCCCAGGCCCAGCCUCACCUGCUGCCGAGAGAGGACAGUGACCCCCCAAAAGCCGGAGGUGAAGGAGGAGGAGGAAGAGGAGGAAGGAGCUGGAGGAGCCGGGGACUCGCCCGCUGAGGAUGCUCUUGUCAAGACAAUGAAUGAGAAGCAGCCGUGCGCCCGCCUCCGGGGUGGCCGCGCCCCUUGGGGCGGAGCUCUUCCAGGCCCG